rnacentral:tRNA from 1 species
AAAAAAAAAUCAUUAAAUAUUGUUUCUUUAAAACUUCCGUAUGCUUGUAAACUUUUAU